UCCCAAUUAUCUCGGGCAGUCCUCUGUGACAUGUAAAACACAGAGCAAGGGUUGCGUUCGUUACCCGAAUUAACGGUACGUCUCAAGACACGAACUGACGACAACCAUGCAGCACCUGCCCAACUGUCUUGCGAAGUACUACUUUCAUAGUAUGUUCAGUUGGGUUUCUAGUCCUGGUAAGGUUCUUCGUUUGUUGUCGAAUUAAGCCACAUGGUCCACCGCUUGUGUGAGUCCCCGUCUAUUCCUUUGAGUUUUAGUGUUGCCACCGUACUUCCCAGGCGGGAUACUUAACGCGUUAGCUUCGACACUGGCAGGGUCGACACUGCCAAUAUCCAGUAUCCAUCGUUUACAGCGUGGACUA
rnacentral:misc_RNA from 1 species